AUACUUACGUGGCAGGGCAGAUACCAUGAUCACGAAGAUGGUUUUCCCAGGGCGAGGCUCACCCGUUGCACUCAGGAUAUGCUGACACCUGCGAUUUCCCCAAAUGUGGGAAACUCAACUGCAUAAUUUGUGGUAGAGGGGGACUGCGUUCGUGCUCUCCCCUG
ensembl:snRNA U1 U1 spliceosomal RNA